rnacentral:misc_RNA from 1 species
GCUUCUUCAAUGAAGGCCCCAAGCUUUGAUAUGUCUGCGAGAACGCCGAGGCAGCAGUAGCUGUCUCCGCGCCUAAGAGAAGCUUGGCCCUGCUUAUAUUUCCCGGACCGCAACGCUUCGACCCACUGCGCCUUGAGCUUCGCGUCCAUGAUUUGCCCCUUCGCCAAACUCAGUCUCGGAACCGCCUGUUGGCCGCGUGGCCGGCAUUGUGGCGAACCUUGUCUGAACCCUUUUCCGCCACCCCAAUGGGUAAGCUCAU